rnacentral:lncRNA from 10 species
ACAGCCUCUCGGGUGGAGGAAGGACAGAGAAAGCUAUCCCAGAGGGGAACAGAAUCAAUCCAAGCUGCUCAUUAAAAGGCUCCCGUCUAUGUGUGGGCAAGGCUAAAUAAGAAGAACUGUUAGAAAAAUUGGAGGCGAGGACACAAAUGAGUGUUUUACCUUUGGCAUUUAGAUGCAGAGCUGAUCCUGAACCCCGUGUGUCUUUCUAUGUGACAUUUCCAGCGCUGAACUGGAAAAUAUGAAUCUAAGUACAGAUAUAGUCUAUAAUGAAUCCAUCUGGCCACACAUCAAGUUUUUAAAUAUUUACAAUUAUGGCCCUGGCCUUAUUAAACUUGCAGGAAAACAGCAGCAGCAGGGUUUACAUAUGGGCUCAAGAAGCUUCCUUCAGCCAGCACCAUGAUGGCAACUGCCUGAAAUUUCUAGAAAAAUAUAUAUUCAUUUGCCACUCUCUCAGGGUCAAAAAAUGGCACAAAAACAUCAGGAAAGCGGCUUGCUGGGAUUUCUCAAACUGCACACAGGACACUGCAAAGAGCAUGUAUGAGCUAUCGAGUUUGUAUUUAAAUCUGUUUCCUUCUUGGAAGACUAUUCCAUACUGAGGGCCCAAGAGGAGGCAAUUCCAACAAAUAGAUGGAGACAAGAAAUAAAUGUCAGGAAAUGAAGAACUUCCUGUUAUCAAGGGCAAUGCAAAAUCAAGAUUUGAAUCUGAGUUGGAACCCGCUCUUAUUAGUGUCUUCUAGUCUGUCAGGGCUGUGAGGUUUCCUUGAAGGACCACAUGGCUCAGGCACCAGGAGACUGUGUUUCCAGUCCAGGCCUGCUACUCAUUCAUUGUAUGAGUGUGAGCAAAUCGCUUAGUGCCCUGAGAGUCUGUUCUUCUCAUACCUAAAAUGGGAAUGGCAAGCACUACCUACGUAGCUCACAGGGCUGUUUGAGGCUACGAUGCUGUAGCAGGGGUUUACAAACUAUGAUUCAGGAACCAUUUGUGGGUCUGGAAAUUAGUUUCCUGGAUUAAAACUACUAUUUUCUUUCUUUCUUUUUUUCUUCUUUUUGUUUUUUUUGUUUGUUUGUUUGUUUUUUUGAGACAGAGUCUCGCUCUGUUGCCCAGGCUGGUGUGCAGUGGCGUGAUCUCAGCUCACUGCAAGCUCCACCUCCCGGGUUCACACCAUUCUGCCUCAGCCUCCAGAGCAGCUUGGACUACAGGCACCCGCCACCACACCCGGCUAAUUUUUUGUAUUUUUAGUAGAGAUAGCGUUUCACUGUGUUAGCCAGGAUGUUCUCGAUCUCCUGACCUCGUGAUCUGCCCGCCUCAGCCUCCCAAAGUGCUGGGAUUACAGGCAUGAGACCCCAUGCCCGGCCAAAACUACAAUUUUCCAAACAAAAUAGAAUUGGAAUGGAAUCACAUAGAAUGAACUGGACUGGACUGAACUGGAAUGGGAAGUAACUCACCCAUAGUAAGUACAGCUUUGUAAAAUUCUUUUUUCGCUUAUAUAUCUGUAUGUAGGUAUUAAAUUGUGAUGCUAAAUGCAUUUGUUACUGUAAAUUUAAGCUUUGAUAUAUGAAAGAGCUUUGUAAAAUGUAAAGAGAGGUACCCAAGGGAGCAAACUAGUUGUCCAGAAAUCAUAAAUGUAUUUUGUUUUCCUUCCCCCAUAUUUUCAACUAAAAAAAAAAAAAAAGAACAGAAUGCACUCAACAAACAUAUUCUGGUUUCUUCAGCUGCCCCCAUGGCUUAUUGUCAGCAUGCUACCUGCUUGACCCCCGAAACGUCUGAAUUUGUGAUAUCUGGGUAAACGGUAAUAUGUACAUAUCUCUAAUUUUGCACUUUUUGCACUGAAUUAAAAUGGUUUUUGCAAUGGUCUCCAAGCAUCUUAAGAACAGGAACAUGAUCUUUUAAUGUAUCCUCCAGGCUGGCAGUGUCCUUAACAUAGUAGCUGUUCAAUAAAUAUUUCUCAAACAAAAGCAGAGUCAAGAUUUCUGGAUCCCUGUUGGGCUCAGACUUUGCCACUGGCCAUCUGGAUGAUAUUGAGGGAGCCGUUUCUCUGCUGUGUGCCAACGUUUCCCUCACUGGUAAAGUGAGAGUACUGAGCUCAAAGUAAUGCUCUCCAUAUAUGUGUGUGCUCUGGGAGAUCCAUAAACAGUGAGAAGUCCUUGUCUGCCAAAUGAUGAAGAUUUACACCACUACAGUAGUCUGUUCAUUGCUUUUACCUGUUUCACUGAUUUCGGCUCUACCUUAAGAUUUCCUUUAACUAGGUGACCUCUAAGGUUCCAUCUCACUAUGCCAUGCAGCCGUCAUGACUCCCAGUGAGGUGCUCUUGCAGGUGCACCUCAACACCUUCCUCUAGUUGUUAUGUUCUUUCUCCAAAGCCGGUUAAGUUACGAGUGACUGAAGCUAUGGCUAAUAUGGAUAGAACAACACACAGCUCAUAUGAAUUACAGCACACAGCUGGGAUCAUCAUUCAUUAUCUGGCUUUCAAACACAGUCCAGUCAAACAGUCCCAUCUUCCUUUUGACUCCUGAAAUUUUUGAUGACAUACUGCAUUCGUCUGCUCUGAUAUGUUGCUACUCCCAUAGACUUUGCUGAGAACUUUCUAUUUCAAGUGUUCAUCAGCCAGUGUGGAUUAGGAGGACAUUUAAUGGAGAAUUCAUUAUUAUGAGAAAUCUGUGAGUUGCCGUCAUAAAAUUUACCCUCACUUUUAUAAAAGCCUUCUUCACUCAUCCACUUCUUCUGAAAAUGAUCAAUACCAGGCUAUCACUCCUACGUCUGGCCUACCACUCUGUUUUUCAAAAUUUGCAAUGUUGACACAA